UUCAUUAAGAAGGGCAUGUUUAAUCGCAAGAACGACCUAUCCAGAGUAAAGUUCAGUUGGGUGUGGUUCUAGAACCACUAGCAUUGCCACAAACCAAAUCAUUACCACGGACCAGAUAACUCCAUUAGUCAAGCUACUCGCGUGGGAGGAGUAAUUUUACUUUUUUUUUUUUUAAGUAAAAUAUUGAUUCUAAUGAAAAAUGGGUGGUUCUGUUACUACUGUCUUGACCCAAGUUGGCCAUGCGCAAAACUGCUGACACUAAUGAACCAGACGCAUUUGAAUACUAACUUUAAAGCAGCUAAAUUAUACAGGUCACGAACAACAGCCAAGUAUCGGUGUUUAAUUUCAUACGCAUUCUUUUGGCCUGUUGUGACGGUCUAUGUGGCGUCUUACCUUAAAGGACCCAGAUCCAGAUCCAGAACCAGAACCAAAUGAUUGUCGUCGCGCCGCAGGUGUGAUAGGUAAGGAUGAUUAGUUUAAGUAGUUGAAAACGCUGAUUGUCGCUUAGCGUAGCCUCAACGAUGAUCGGCUGCAGCAGUCAAGAUCCAUCGAUCAGUGUCUCUCAUCUUCACCUCAUUCAUCCCGUCUGUGUUCACAACAUCAGCACCACGAGGCGCGUCCUUGGACGCGCGCAUCACGGACGCGCAUAGUUCACGUCCUCGGUCCUCGAUCGCGUGCUUGGUGACGUCAGUGGAUCGUCCAGAAUCGAUGUUUCUGAUUGAAUAUAAUUUAUAAUAGACAAAUAGAUACUUUUAAAAGAAGCUAUUCCUUCUUCGGUCGUAUGGGUCAGCUAGGUCUCGUGGAUUUAAAAGUACACGCCAGCACAUUGUCUGACCAUUUUAAAUUUGCAAUUAUUUCCAUUAGAACUUUCAGCAAGUAGAAUAUUUUUAGAGAUGUAACCAAAAAUAGAAGCAAUCUUCAUUGCACAUUCCUCAGCCAAAUGUUGGUUUUCAGAUUUUCUUUUGGCAGGUCUAGUCUAAACGUGGUCAUUUACAGGCAUAUCAUCAACUGUUCCACUAUUGGGCCUAAUCUCAUAUUGGUUCUAUACAGUUUCUUCCAACCUAUAUCUCUAAACCACUUCUCAUCUCUUAUUGUUGCUUAGAUGGUUUAACCUAGUGCUAACCAAGAACUACUGCUGCCAGGAAGCAGACUGAACACGUUUGUAAAACAAAUGCUCUAAAAAUCUUUAUUGUUUCAGAGAACAGAGCAACUGACAAUCAGUCGAUUGUUGCCUAACAUCAGAAAAUUCAGAAAACGUUCUUCUUAUGGAUGUUUAAUAUAUAUAUAAAAAAGAAGUACAAAGAAAAAUAUCUACAUGAGAGCACGAUCAAUCCUCCCCUGGUCCUUCCUGACAUAAGCCAAAAACAUGUACUUCAAAGCAAUGAUUUUUCCGACGUUCCACUAACUAAACUUUAUCGUUCCUGUUAUAUCAUCACAUCCAAACUCUACCCUUUGCA